rnacentral:rRNA from 1 species
ACUUGGGGCUACUGGCAGGCUUGACACAUGCAGUCGAGGGGCAGCACUUCUUCGGAUGGUGGCGACCGGCGCACGGGUGCGUAACGCGUAUAGAACUUACCUUUUACAGAGGGAUAGCCUUUAGAAAUGAAGAUUAAUACCUCAUAGCAUUGAGAUUUGGCAUCAAAUUUUAAUUAAAGAUUUAUCGGUAAAAGAUGGCUAUGCGUCCUAUUAGCUAGAUGGUGAGGUAACGGCUCACCAUGGCAACGAUAGGUAGGGGUCCUGAGAGGGAGAUCCCCCACACUGGUACUGAGACACGGACCAGACUCCUACGGGAGGCAGCAGUGAGGAAUAUUGGGCAAUGGAGGCAACUCUGACCCAGCCAUGCCGCGUGCAGGAAUAAGGUCCUAUGGAUUGUAAACUGCUUUUAUA